AGAAUCUUCCAUCCACUUCCAUUCAUUCCCAAAUGGCUACAACAGCCAGGUCUGGGCCAGGCUGAAGCCGGAGCCAGGGAUUCCAACCGGGUCUCCCAUGAAGAUGUCAGGGGUCCGUGUACUUGGGCUAUCAUGUGCUGCUGUUGCAGGGGAAUUAGCAGGAAGCUGGACUGGAAUUACAGUAGCUGGGACUCAAACCCAUACUCUGAUUAUGGGAUGCCAGUGUCGCAAGCAAUGGCUUAACUCUGUGUCACCAACCAGCCCCCACAGCGUGACUGCCUCUGUCAUAAACUUCAAAGGCUUAUUUGAAACUCAGAAGCUAAGAAUGCACUCUCUGUUCUGCUGUAUCCUCCAGUACUUCCUACAGGGCUGUGCUGUAAAUGUUCUAGCCGCCUCUCCGAUGGGGGAAGGAGUCAGGAGGAAAGCCUCAUUGAAUAGCAGUGUAGGACAGUGUCCUGGUUAGAACGGUUGGUUUACCCAGGGUGAGGGGUACCAGGGGAAAGGAGGGGAACUCUGCCCCGACUUGGGUUUUGCAAAAAUUUACCUGGGCAGCUUUGAUGGGGGAUGGCGCUAUGGAAGAUUAACUUCAGGAGCCAUUGUGUUCUAGGGAGAGAGGCACAAUGAGGAGGAAGGAAUUUACUACUCUGGCCCUUGCACAGGGCGUGGCUGUAACUGGGAUGCCUUGGUGCUGGCUCACAGGGGCACUGGGGGAGGAGAAUCUCAGGGGGCAAAAGCUGAGGGAGUCGUAGCAUCAGCAACCCAAGCAAUGGAGAAGGCUGGGUCCUCUGUCUGCCGGCUGCAGCAGGAACGACUCUGUUGGAAGCUGGAUGCCCUAGCCUUUGAGUAACGGCUGGGAGUGUCUCUGGGUUCCUUGUCACAAUCAUCAACAGAGCUCUCUGCUGUGGCCUGGGAAAGCAGUAGAAGAUGGCCCAAGUGCUUGGGCCCCUGUACCCACGUGGGAGACCUGAAAGAAGCUCCUGGCUCCUGGCUUCAGAUCGGUGCAGCUCCGGACAUUGCGGCCAUCUGCGGAGUGAACCAGUAGAUGGAAGACCUCUCUCUCUGUCUCUCCCUCUCUCUGUAACUCUUUCAAAUAAAUAAAAAUAAAUUUUAAAAAAAUAAAUAAGACUGACUGACUAAUAUGGUUGCUUUCUCACCCUUAGAAAGCAACCUGGAACCAACCAUGCUAUGGUUUCAAUGCAUCCCCCGAAAGUUCACGUGUUGGAAACUUUAUCCUCAAGGCCAUAUGUUGAUGGCAUUUGGAGAUGGGGCCUUUGGCAGAUGGUCUGGAUUAGAUGAGGUCAGGAGGGUGAGACCCCUAUGGUGGGAUUUGUGGUUUUCUAUUUUUUAAAUUUGUGUUUUAUUUUAGAAGGAAGAGACAGAGACACACAGAAAGAGACAGAAUCUUCCAUUUACUGGUUCACCCCCAAAUGCAUGCCAUAGUUAGGGGUGGGCCAGGCCGAGUCCAGGAGCCUGGAACCCAGCCUGGGUCUUUGACAUGGGCGGCAGGGAGUCAACUCUCUGAGCUGUCACCGGCUGCCUCCCAGGGUGUGCAUGAACAGAAAGCUGGGUCAGAAGUGGAGGAGCCGAGAUGGACACCAGGCACUCCAAUAUGGAACGCACGCAUCCUAAGGUGAUGUGGGCAGCGGAUAGGUUAACGUCUGAUCUGUGUUCUAGCCUCCCACAGAGACGGAAAUCCUAAGCAGAGCCUGGCAUCAUGUGCAAAUAGGAACAGAACUUAUUUGGCAAUGAGGGAAUAAACAUAUAUUCACAUGUGAGCCUGAGUCAUCCCACACUGAGAAAUACCCAACACGAGUGGGUGGAAGAAUUGCCCGGGCCGGCGCCGCGGCUCAGUAGGCUAAUCCUCCACCUUGUGGCGCCAGCACACCGGGUUCUAGUCCCGGCCGGGGCGCCGGAUUCUGUCCCGGUUGCCCCUCUUCCAGGCCAGCUCUCUGCUGUGGCCCAGGAGUGCAGGUGGAGGAUGGCCCAAGUGCUUGGGCCCUGCACCCCAUGGGAGACCAGGAGAAGCACCUGGCUCCUGGCUUCGGAUCGGCAUAGCUCUGGCCGUUGCGACCAUUUAGGGAGUGAACCAACAGAAGGAAGACCUUUCUCUCUGUCUCUCUCUCUCUCUCACUGCCUGUGACUCUACCUGUCAAAUAAAUAAAUUAAAAAAAAAACCACAAUGAGAUUUUUGAGGUCACAUUAGGAGUCUUUAUCAGCCAGCUGGCGACCACCCUCUCACAGAGCAGGUCCAGAGAAGACGGCCCCGAGGUGCAGUGGCCGGGCUUUUUUAAAGGCAGAAACUACAUUUUGGUGGCCUUGGCCAUUAUCAAGCAAGCAAGCAGGGUACAGAAGCCAGAAAUAUGCCGGUUACAGCCGGUCGAGCAGACCGAUGUCUGUCACUUGUUUCUCUCAAAGGAACAGUCCCUGCUCUGAAGCAACCAAGCAAGAUCACCUAUGACCCCCAGGCAGGCUGUGCCCCGUGGGAAAACCUUAAACUUACAGCCACCCUGCCACAAAAUGAGCUGAUGUUCGAGGCGCUUGUCCCAACCAAACUAAUCUCCUAAAAAGAACCCACGAGAAGAAAAUCAACACAUUUUAGAGGAAUACGACAGAAUCCAGAGUGCCCAAACCUAACAGUGACAAUGCAAUCUCGAGUCAUCUGACAAAGGUCUGUUUUCAGGGGAAGAGAAAAUCAGCAGAACCUGACCCGGAGGUGGCAGAUGAGGAUUUCAAAGCCGCCGUGCGAGCUGUGCUCUGCACAGUAAGGAGAACGUGUUCUAAGGAAGGGGCCGAUAGGCAGUCUCGGCACAGGGAGACAGACCGAGAAAGAACCAAACGGAAAUUCUGCAACUGUAAAAUGCGCUCUCUGAAGUAAAAAUGGUCCCGGGUAGGCUGAAGUCUCCAAGGAUGACAAAGAGAAGGUUCCAGGCCCCGUUGAGAAGUCAGGCACAAAAGGAAAAUGAAAAAACUGGCUCGAGGGCUGGGAACACAGAAUAAGAAACGCUGGUCUGCAGCGAUGGGGCGGAUCUCUGUGGUCGCUCGGAAAGCAUUCAGGAGCCUUGUUUCUUUCCCUUUUAAAAAAUAUUUUAAAAAGUUUAUUAUAGCUAUUUUGAAAUACUAACAAGAGAAGAAAAUCAACAUCAAUUUUGUAAAAAGAUUUAUUUGAAAGGCAGAGGUACAGAGAGAGCGAAGGAGAGAGAGAGUGAGUUUCCAUCUGCUGGUUCACUCCCCAAAUGGCAGCAACAGCCAAGGCUGGGCCAGGCCAAAGCCAGGAGCCAGGAGCUUCAUCCGGGUCUCCCAUGUGGGUGCAGGGGCUCAAAUACUUGGGCCAUCUUCAGCUGUGUUCCCAGGUGCAUUAGCAGGGAGCUGGGUUGCAAGUGGAGCAGCUGGGACUCAAACUAGUCCCAUAUAGGAUGCUGACACUGCAGGUGGAGGCUUAACCUUCGACGCCAUAGUGCUGGCCCUAAUAAACAUCAAUUUUAAUCUUACCACCUAGAAACAUCACUGUUUACAUUUUGGUAUGUAUUCUUCCAGUCUGCUAGAAUAUGUCAUUUUUAUUUUACCAAAAUAACAUCACAUUGUGUUUACUGUUUGAAAUACUUUUAUUUUUGUUUAUUACAAUUUUAUUUAUUUGUUUAUUUGCCAGGUGGGGAAGGAGAGAGAGAGAGAGAGAGAGGGAAUUUCUAUUCUGGGUUCCUGGCUUCAGCCUGGCCCAGCCCCAGCUGUUGUGGCCAUUUGGGGAGUGAUCCAGUAGAUGGAAGACCUCUUUUUGUCUUUCCUUAUCUAUCACUCUGCCUUUCUUUUUUCUUUUCCUUUUUUAUUUUUAAGAUUUAUUUAUUUAUUUGAAAGUCAGAGUUAUAGAGAGGGCUAGGCAGAGACAGAGGCAAAGAGAGAAAGGAGAGGAGGGAGGUCUUCCAUCAGCUGGUUCACUUCCCAAAUGGCUGCAAUGGCCAGGGCUGGACCCGGCCAAAGCCAGGGGCCAGGAGCUUCUGGGUCUCUCGUGUGGAUGACAGGGGCCCAAGCACCUGGCCACCUUCCACUGCUUUCCCAGGUCAUAGCAGAGAGCUGGAUCGGAGUGGAGCAGCUGGGACACAAACUGGUGCCCAUAUGGGAUGCCGGCACCCGUAAGGCGGAGGCCCCCCAAGCAGCAUCUUAACUGCUGUGCCAGACACCUGUCCCAGAGCAAUUUUUGGUAAUGUGAAAAAAUCAUUUUGAUGUAAUGGCAAAUGAAAAAUCCAGAAUGUAAAAUUUUAUGUAGGAUUUCUCAGCUCUGUAUAGACCAGCAGGAAAUCCAGCAAAAAUAUUAACCAAAGUGGUGUGUGAACUGGAAAUGCUUUCAGCUCCAAGGAACAGCAGACCUAGUUUCCGGUGGCUUGAACACAGACCGGUUCCCGUUUCUGUUGUACGUAGGGAAAGGAGGUGGUGGCAGAGGGCCUGGUGGCAGCAGCAGCACCACACCAGCACUGCGAGUCUCUUUCUUCAUGGUCCUGAGGUGGCUGCCCACGUUAGAGGCAGGAAGGAGGGAGGGGAGUGGCUUCAUACCUAUUGUGUCUGCUCCUUUGAUCAGCGACAUCAAGAACGCCCCCUCGCCCCGCCCAGCACCCAGCUAGCGUCUGCUUAUUUCCCUUAACCAAAUUGCAUCCCGCAGACACCCCAGGUAAGCGGAGCCUGCGGAACAGAGCGGCGAUGGGGAACAGGUGGGAACAUCUGUCAGGCUAAUAAGCAACGAUUCCCACUCUGCUUGUUCCUUGUACAUGAGCCUUGUGUGUGGGUGUUUGAACUCCUCUUUUUUUUCUUUUAAAUUAUGUAUUCAGUCAGUUUAUUUGAAAGGCAGAGAGAGAGAGAGAGAGAGAGAGAGAGAGAGAGAGAGAGUUCUAACCACAGUUCAUCCCCACAAAUGCCCACAAUGGCCAGGGCUGGGCCAGUCUAAAGCCCAGGCCAGGCAGUGGGUCUGGGCCUCCCACGUUGGGGCAGGAACCCAGCUACUGGAGCCAUCAUCUUCCUGCUGCUCCUCCGGCUGCAGUCAGCAGGAAGCUGGAAUGGGGAGCAGAGCUGGAUAUGGAACCCCGGUACUCAGAUGUGUGAUAUGGGUGUUACCACUGCAUUCUACACGCAUUAGUAAUCUCUAUAGAAAAAGACAACAGACACCAGUUUAAAAAUCCCUCUUGAGACCUUGGGCUUCUGUUUGUGGAGUUGUUGACAUUGUCAUCGGCCAGCCACGUGCUGACGCCAGGCAUCGCCGUGGCACCUCCGGUGACUCCCUCCCCUCACAGGGCGUGGCUGGCUGGGGCAGCUCUCACGUGUUGAGCUCCUGCCAGGCACUGUGCUGGCUCAUCUGAUCCAGCAACUAGGUUAAAUAACCCAAUCAAAGCUGGAUCCCAGAUGAUCGCACCAAGCUUUAAUUUUGGGAGUUCCUGCCACUUAGCAAGCUCAAGAAUGGUUGUGUUGAAUGAAGGCAGAGUCAAUGAAACCGUGGCUAUGUAGGUUUUUUUUUUUUUUAAACUGCACCAUUACUUGAUAAUUAUUUCUGGUAGAGCAGCCAUUCAUUUUAAUUAGCGCAAUUGAAAAAUAACAGGCUAUAAUCAUUGCCUGCAAGAGAGAAGCUCUGUGCUCCCUUGCCUGCAUCUCAUAGCCCUAAUUGCCGGAUGUAAAUAACUAAUAUGACUACGGAUGAAAAGCCAGCAGGGGAUUUGUUUCCUGAGAGGUCUUCAUAAAUCUUUACGAUGAGAUCAUUACACACACACACACACACACACACACAGCAGCAGAGAAAAUGCAGUGUGAACCUUCACGGAGCUUCAGGAAUCAUCCCCCUUUUGCUAACUUUUCUGCUUAUCUCCCUUCCUCCCAUUUAUUUUUAGAGUAUUUAGAGCAAACCCCAAGACUCAUUUCACGCAGGCAGUUCUGUAUCGGGAAUGAGAAGGCUUUUGUGUGUGGCCCUGCAUUUUGCUGUCUUCAGGCUCAGCAGGGGGACUGUUCUCACAAGCUACGAACCAAACCGGAAUCUACUUCCCUUCACUGAGACAUCUGGGGAGUGUUGCUUCUGAAACUAUUUUUGGUGUGAACAUGUCGCUCAAGCUGCCGCAGCUAUGUGGGAAUUUUGAAGUGUCAAAGGCGUAUGACUGCAGCUGGGCGGAGGCGAGUGGGCAGGGUUAUUACAAAGCCCAGCCAGCUCCUUUUCAGCUCCCUGCUCACCUCGGCUCUGAACGCCUUAGAAGGGCUGCACCCAGGUUAGGAUGCAAACGGUGGCACAGGUGUGGCUGGGAGGAGCUGGUGGUCUGGCAGAGGGGCCUUACGGGCCUGGGGACCCUUGGCAUCCUGGGAGAUCCUUGGAGGUGAUUCGUGGAGGGUUCCUUGGAGAAUGCCGGGGCUGUGUUUGCAGAUGGUUCCUCCAGGCCGGACCGAGAGUAACUUCCGGCUUCCGGUCGUGCUCCUAAGGAGCUUAGAAGUCGCCAAAUGAACAAGCCGAGAGCUCUCCUGAGAUCACUAAGAGAAGGGCGGGCACAGGGCAACGGCUGCCCUGCUGGAGAGACAGACAGCCCUCGCCACAGCGCACUGCCCACGGCAGGUCCUUCUACCUGGCACGUAAGGACCACCUUUCGACAGAGGCUACAAGGCGCACCAAAAAGCAAAACCCAGGGCUGGGCGUUUGGCAAGGCUGUUAGACACUGCUUGGAAUGCCUGCGGCCUAUACUGGAGGGCCUGGUUGGAGUCCAGCUUCACCUGUGAUCCAGCUUCUCGAUAAUGAAUGCGCUGGGAGGCAGCAGAUGUUGGUUCAAGUACUUGGUCCCUGCCACCCACACCAGGAGGCAUGCAUGAAGCUGAGUUCCUGGCUCCUGGCUCCUGGCUUUGGCCUGACUGUUAGGGGCAUUUGUGGAGUGAACCAGCAGGUGGGCUCUCCCCCUCUCUCUGCUUUUCAACUAAAAUUUAAAGAAUUAAAAGGUGAAAACUGCAGUUUGAGGAGUAGGCAUGAGCACCAGACUGAGAUACACCGGGGAUACUGGAAUUACCAGGCCAGGAGCUCAAACAAGCAAAACCACGAUUAGCGUGCUGCAGGCCUGACAGAGCAGAGCAGGGCUGGCUUCUGCGCCUGGGCCCCUGGCUUGCUGUCACCUCACCUGGGAGCUCCCAGCAUCCCCAGCCGCAGGAAUGGCUGCCCUGGAGCAGCUUCUUAGAGUGUAAAUGCAACUGUCACCAACAGGGGGCGCUCACAGCCCACGCCACGGGCUUUCUAGUUGUGCAGGAAGAACAACACUCAGACUCGGAUGCGAAUGGCCCAACAGCAGCUCUGCCAACCGCGGGAAGGUGUUUCGAAGCCUCACCUCACCCAAUUGGCACAGCCGUCGUCUGCUCCUCUGACCACCACAACACGUUACUCGGACCUGUUUUAUAACUUGCACCAUCUCCUGCCUGGUCC